AUGACCGGCUUGCUCGGGAAGUUGGUUGAGGGGUGUACGUUCCUCAGUGCCUCUGACAACGACGCGGUUGCGAGGCAGUUCACUUCAUUUGUCCCAGAACGUACACAUCGACCAACCGGUUGCCGUGACCGGUAUGACUACAACAGUUCCCAAGAGCCCGGUGACACACAAGAUGAUGUAGAUGGAGACGCUGGCCUCAGCAAGGAUGACGACGAUGACAUGGAUGAUGUGCAUCAGGACACGGAUGACGAUGAACACGCUGAAGUUCGCAUAGGCGCCAACAAGGGCAAGGAUGCAACAGAUGCCCCCCCAUCGGAGAAAGUGAUAGAACAUAUGGCUGCGAGAGGCAAGGGGGUGUUGCCAUCAAGGAGGGGGAGGGCUUCAGAUGAUGUUGGGCAGGGUUCGCAUGGCAAGAGGUCUAGGACCGAUCCCGUAGCUGCCAGGAGGAGUGAGCCGACUGCUGGUGGACGAGCAGCUACGAAGAAACAGGCGCCAACGCCAACCCGUGUUUCUGCUCGCUUGAACAAAGGUGCCCCCAUUGUCGGUGACACCCCUUCCACCAGGUCUUCUCCUCGUACGACGACGACCAACACCAGGGAUCCUAUCGUGUUGCUAGACCUGAGGAAGCCGGUCAAGAAGGUGAAGAAGACCACUAUGCGCAGGGCCAAGCAUAGCAGUAAGGACCCGUUCGAACGCCUACAUUCAAAGUUGUCAACGGGGGGCAACUCAGAUGUACAUGAGGCACCCGGCGUCAACACUGCUGCUGCACCGAUGACAACUCCCACCAACUCUGAUGCAAGUGGCUGA
rnacentral:rRNA from 1 species